ensembl:misc_RNA Gm27572 predicted gene, 27572
CCAACCGCUGGGCUAUAAUCUAUGAAACUGAGCCGGGAUCCAGCCAAUCAGUUAGCUAGCUCCUCAUAACAGGUCUAACUGGCUCUGGACAGCUAAAGGGCUGCGCUGGAGCACAGCAGAGAAGUUACUCUACACAACACUGCAUAUCUACAGUUACUUUGCCUGCAAAGACCAGAGAGGGGGAAAAAAAUCCCAGCUUCAUCGUCUCGGGGAGGGAGGACAGGUGGUCUGGCACAGACCGAGUGAGUCUGAGGCUG